GAGCUGUUGCUCAGUGGUACAGUAUGUGUUUAGCAUACUCAAUGUCCUGGUUCAAUCCCCAGCAGUUGCCA
rnacentral:tRNA from 1 species